CUAGUACUACCUCCGUCCGAAAAUAUUUGUCGGAAAAAUAAAUGUAUCUAGACGUAUUUUAGUUUUGUAGAUACAUCUAUUUUUUAUUUAUUUUAAUGACAAGUAUUUUUGGACGGAGAAAAUAAUAA
rnacentral:pre_miRNA from 1 species